rnacentral:rRNA from 1 species
GACAGAGGGUGCAAACGUUGUUCGGAUUUACUGGGCGUAAAGCGCGUGUAGGCGGCUUGGCAAGUCGGAUGUGAAAUCCCACGGCUCAACCGUGGAAGUGCACUCGAAACUGCAGAGCUAGAGUCCUGGAGAGGAAGGUGGAAUGCUUGGUGUAGAGGUGAAAUUCGUAGAUAUCAAGCGGAACACCGGUGGCGAAGGCGGCCUUCUGGACAGUGACUGACGCUGAGACGCGAAAGCGUGGGGAGCAAACAGG